rnacentral:rRNA from 1 species
UACGUAGGGGCAAGCGUUGUCCGGAUUUAUUGGGCGUAAAGAGCGUGUAGGCGGCUAGAUAGGUCCGUUGUGAAAACUCGAGGCUCAACCUCGAGACGUCGAUGGAAACCAUCUGGCUAGAGUCGGAAGAGGAGAGUGGAAUUCCUGGUGUAGCGGGUGAAAUGCGCAGAUAUCAGGAAGAACACCAAUGGCGAAAAGCAGCUCUCUGGGACGGUACU